UUGUUAUUCCUUUUCAUCACACCAAGCCACUAGCCCAUAUAAUUGUAUAGAGAGAGAGGGAGUGGCGUGAGGUGGCUGCCAUUUCUAGAGAGAAGAAAGGAAGAAGAAGAAGAAGAAAAUGGUUCAAGCUAGGGGUUUGAGCAAGGAGGUUAUUGGAUUCUUGAUUGGAUUAGAUUCUUGAUUUUCUAUCAAGAAGAGGCUCGUUGAGAGGUUGUGAAUUUACUUAGCUUGGACCUGAGGUAGCAAAUAAGAUUUCUUUGUGGCACGCGUGGUGACGUGAGGAGUUCUAUCGUCGUAGGGCGUAUGGCGUGGGGUAUCCUAUGGACUGAAUAAACGAUCACUUUAGGACGCCAUUUUGAUUAUGUUAUGUUUUAAGAGACUUUCUAAAUUAUCAGUGGGACUUAAUUAUUUAGUUUUGUUUCUUUUGAACUUUGCAUAAAAACUCAUAUUUUCUUUUUUAAACUAAUGGGCCCAACUUGCAUUGUUUUAAGCAAGUCCCCACUGAGACCUUUAUAAAAGUGGUUUUCUUUAUGGACCAAUGAUAUGUGAAUUUUUUAUUAAGUACUAGUAUAGGGCAUUCUUUACAUAACCUUU